GAAGAUUUAGUUAAAUUUGAUAACAUUAGCGUGUCACACUAAAAUUAUUUUUUGAAUAAUCUUCU
rnacentral:tRNA from 1 species